rnacentral:rRNA from 1 species
CAAAGGUAGCGCAAUCACUUGUCCCCUAAAUAGGGACCCGUAUGAACGACUUCAUGAAGGUGCACCUGUCUCCUGAGGCCAAUCAAUGAAACUGAUCUAUCAGUACAAAAGCUGAUAUAUGCUCAUAAGACGAGAAGACCCUGUGGAGCUUCAAGAAAACUACUAACGAGUCAACACAAACAUCACCAAGAACAGACACCCCUACAUCAAUAGUAAAAACUUUCAGUUGGGGCGACUACGGAGCAUAAUAAAACCUCCACGACAUCAGGCUUACAACCAUCACAAGGCCUACUAGCCAAAAACAACCAUUGACCCAGUAAUAAAACUGAUUAACGAACCAAGUUACCCCAGGGAUAACAGCGCCAUCCCCUUCAAGAGUCCCCAUCGCCAAGGGGGUUUACGACCUCGAUGUUGGAUCAGGGCCUCCCAGUGGUGCAGCCGCUACUAACGGUUCGUUUGUUCAACGAUUAAAGC